rnacentral:lncRNA from 1 species
CCCAAUUCACCAUUUCUGAAACAAACUCAUCGGAAAUAAAAAAAAUAUGAAAAAAGUAUAAAAAAAAUUAGUCUCAGACGCUUCACCUAAGUCUUCAAACCCAUAACCUUUGUCAUCUCCGAUCUACUUAAGAACCAUUAGAUCGAGACUCAAGCACAACCAUAAAAGAGAAAAAAGAACAAAAAAAAGUAAAAAAUGCAUGCCCAAAUCAUUUAUGACAUAUGUUGACCAAGAUAGCAAGAAAAUGAAGGCCCUGCGAUUCAAGCAAAUCAUAAAUAAUUCUUCUUCCAUAUUUGCCCACUGCUAUACCAUUGUUAAAGAGAGAUAAGAAUUAGGUAAAAUAGAAUUGAGAGCUUUGGAUAAUGGCAAAGAAUUGAUGAUAAAGAAAUUGUUAAUGAUGUAAUUAGGCUCGGUAUAGCAUUAGUGAUGCAAAACGAUCCAAGGACAGAGUGUGUGAUCAGCGGAGAUGCGAUGGAGGAGGAGGGAUUUGGCGUCAGAGAAUUUGCAGUGGGUGUGGGAGGAGGUUGAAGAGGUAGGAGAAGGGGGCAAAGAAUAAAAACAACAAACAUGCAAAGCAACCCAAAC